rnacentral:lncRNA from 1 species
CUGUUUCUUGGAUUAAGAGAACAUCAAAGAUGGAGAUCUAGAUUUUGAAUCCUGGCCGUUUGUUUUGAUAAUAUAUACGUGUACGGUGCAGAUAAGCUGUCUAAAAUUCAGGUACUUAGUUAGAACUUAUUUGUCAGCGUUUGACGUUAGUAAAUUAAUUGAUUCUUCUUAUUUUUUAUAAAAUUGAAUGAUUCAAUUUCUUUAACUCUUAUAAAAAGUCAAAAGUUGACAAUUUUAUGUUUAAUCGCGAUAAUUUUAUAUAAAAUCACCAUAAAUUUAUAAAAUUGCUAAAAAUUCCACAAAUCAGAUGCCCGUGAAUUUCUCGUGUGCUAGUCUCUCACAAAAACCUGUAAAUUAAUCUGGACCAAAGAACUUCCGGUACAAAUUAGUUUCCAUAGAGUAUAUAAUGUAGAAGAAGAUUUGCUUGUGAACAUGUAAAGUUACAGAAUAAAUAGAAUCUUUGUUCCACUAGAUUAAGUACUAUCCAUAACUUCAUAUAUCCACAAUAGUACAGUUUUGAUCACUCAUGGAACAACAAUAUAAUUUAAUUUAAUAUGACCACCUAUAAUCUGCACAGAGAUGUAAAUUCACAGACCAAAAGAUCACAAAAAAAAAAAAAAAUGCAAGAUUUGCAUAACAACUUCACUUCCUUUGUGGAAGUUUCAGAUUUUCUCUUUUAACAGUUGAUUCCACAUUGCUGCACAUCAGGACCUGUUACGCUUGUAGUGAAUGGAUCAACUCUUACCCAUAAGAGAGAGAAAAUGGAAGCAAGGAGAAUAGACCAGACAACGACAAUGGUCGGUGUUCG